AGGAAACCUACAGCGCCAUAGUCGGCCGAGCGCGAAACAAACUCAAUCUCAAUAAACGUAACAUAACCCAUAACCGUGGAAAUUAACCGUAGAAUAUGUGUCAAUCAUAUUCAACGCGCUGACACCCAGCAUGGUUACUGUAACAUCCGACCGGAACGUCCGUAUGUUUUAUCGACUAUUAUUACUGCAUGUUACUUUUAUCAACCAACCAAACUCGAAGUACGAGAACCUUGUAACCAUAAGGAAUUAAAACAACUGUCUAACUAUUUGGAAU